rnacentral:rRNA from 1 species
UGGGGAAUAUUGCACAAUGGGCGCAAGCCUGAUGCAGCCAUGCCGCGUGUGUGAAGAAGGCCUUCGGGUUGUAAAGCACUUUCAGCGAGGAGGAAGGGUAGUGUGUUAAUAGCACAUUGCAUUGACGUUACUCGCAGAAGAAGCACCGGCUAACUCCGUGCCAGCAGCCGCGGUAAUACGGAGGGUGCAAGCGUUAAUCGGAAUUACUGGGCGUAAAGCGCACGCAGGCGGUUUGUUAAGUCAGAUGUGAAAUCCCCGCGCUUAACGUGGGAACUGCAUUUGAAACUGGCAAGCUAGAGUCUUGUAGAGGGGGGUAGAAUUCCAGGUGUAGCGGUGAAAUGCGUAGAGAUCUGGAGGAAUACCGGUGGCGAAGGCGGCCCCCUGGACAAAGACUGACGCUCAGGUGCGAAAGCGUGGGGAACAAACA